AUCACUCCUCUCUUUGUCUUCUCCGUCUUUAUGUUCUUCUUGGUUCAUAUAUUCUGAUUGUUUUUUUUUUCUAAUCGAUCAUGUGUUGAUUGCUCAACAUAAAUUUUGUUCCAAUUAUUGUUUGUUUUGUUUUAUUUUGUAGGAGUGGUUUUUGAAGAAGAGAUGAACAGCCAAAUCCAAUUAUGUAUUGUUGCAGGGGUUAUGUUGAUUCAUAAGCAGCUUCUGGGAGAGAGAGGAAUUGUAUUUGAUUCACGAACAGGAUUGAUGAGCAAAAUAAGAUAGAAAGCUGCAUUUGCCAGUUGUGGAUUUCAAAAAAGUACCUGAACAUUUAAAUUCAGAGCCUAAUGUGUUUAUGGAAAUGUCUAGGAGAAACUCAGAUUAAAACAGAAACUCAAACUGCACCAGACUAAAAGACAUGCCAAUUAGGUAUUUUAAUAAGGGUAUGGUUGAAACUACAGAACUGGGUAUGUUGCUGAGACACUAUCUUGGAGAAAAAUAUGAUGAGAAACUAUAGUUUCUAAAAGGAAACAUUCUCGAAGAGCAGUAGCGAGACUUUCGAGCAGCUCCAGCAGAGAAUUCCUGAAAGAAUAGUUGAGCAUGUUGUUCACUGAAUGCUUUCAAAAGGUUUUAGAGGCAAGUCCUGGACAUGUGAAGGCUCUAUAUCGUCGUGGCAUGACACACAUGUCAGCUGGAUAUUUUGAGGAAGCAAGGAGUGAUUUUAAGAAGAUGAUAACCAUUGACAAGUCCUCGGAACCUGAGGCAACAUCAGCUCUUAAAAAUCUCAACCAAAAGGGACAGGAAGUUGAGAUGGACUGUCUGACAAGAAGCAUGGGGUAAUUGCUGAUGCUGGAGCUGAUUUAGGCAAAGAUGAGAAAGAUGAAAAUGAUGAAAACCUUGAACGUGGAAACAAUGCUGCACAAGAUUAAGAAAAGGAAGUCAAAGAAGAGGAAGAAGAAGCUCCACCCUCGAAAGGGUUUAUUUAACAGGAUUUGGCCCAUUGUACCUUCGCUUCACCUAUGUCAUUUACCAAUAUCAGCAGUAGGGGACGGGGAGAGACGAGGUUGGAAGCUGAGCCACACCAAAUCAAAAAUUCUAAGCGACGGGACGAGGCGAAGCCGAGCCACAUCAAUUAAAAAAUGCAUCGAGCCACCCAAAAUCAAAAAUUCAUGGGAAAGCCACACCAAAUCAAAAAUCCAAAAGUGACGGGGCUUCGCCAAAAAUCCAAAAGUGACGGGGCGAGGCGAAGCCGAGCCACAAAUGUUUAACAGGGCGAGGAAAAAAAUGAUGGUGGAUAGAUUUCGGGUCCGCCCGGUGUGUAGCACGGGCACAAAAUCAAACAAGAUGAUAAGUGAAACUCAAAUCUUGAUUCUCAUUCAUUCUGACCCUACCAUCUAAACUGAUCUCCAUUCUCACAACCCUACUCAUCUAAACUGAUCUCCAUUCUCACAACCCUGCUCAUCUAAUUUGGUUUCUAUUAUUGUUCUGCUUCAAGAAUCAUCGAUAACCGGAAACAGGUCCGGUGGAACAACCUGAGUAAUUUGGUUUCUAUUAUUCUGAGACUUCAACAAUCAGCAAUCACCAGAAACAGGGGUAUCAACAAAGAGAUACUCUUUGUUAGCUAUCGAAUGAAUUUUUAAUUUGAGGAACCAGAUGACUCUAGAAACUACAUUCAGGUUAGAAAAGGCAAGGAAGGCAAGAGAAUUUACUCUCCGAGACUGUUGAUAGAAAUACCACUAAUGCAUCAAAACCUUCUCGCAAAAGAGCAAUCAAUGAUCUGGAACCACCACAUUCUAUCAACAAUGAUAAGUUACAGCUACAACGCCGUGCUCGAUAACGGGGAAGAAUGAAAAUUGAUCACAUGAGGCAGAGAAAGAUUCAACUUGAUCGCUUACGCCAAACACAAACUCAAAGUGUCUGCGAUUCAGGUGUUGGUCCCGCAGCACGGGAAUGAGUGUCGAAUACAUGUUCAAGUACAUCUGCAAAGGGGAUGAUCGUGUUACUGCUGUUCUGGAAAAAACUAAUCCCCAGAAUAAUAAGGAAACUACAACCAAAAAGAAGAGAAGCAACAAAGGGCACGAAGAACUUACUGGAACUUACUGCUGUCGUUGAACAAACUCAGUCACCAAAUCAGCAUGUUGGUCAGAAUGGAAACAACGGACAGGAUUCUCAAAAGGGUAAGAAAAAGGUCAAGCCUAAAUUUGAUGAAGUGAACAACUAUUUGGAUUGUCGAUACAUAUCAGCUCCGGAGGGGAUAUGGAGAACGUUGGGUUAUGAAAUUCAAUAUCGCAAGCCAAGUGUGGAGAGACUUCCGUUUCAUCUCGAAGGUGAGCAAAACAUCUACUUCAAUGACAAAGAAAAUCUGGAAAAUGUCAUAGACAGAACGAAUUACCUACAAAAUUCCUUUGGUACAAUAAAAUAAAAAUGUGGAGGAAAAGGAACCAGUGGGUACAAAAUCGGGAGACUAUACUAUGCACAUCCAACUUCACAAGAGAGAUACUAUCUACGAAUGUUGUUGUACAUCGGCAAAGGAGCACAGACUUAUGAUGAAAUAAAAACUGUUAAGGGAAAGAUAUAUCCUACUUUCAAAGCGGCGUGUCUUGCACAUGGUCUGUUAGAAGAUGACAAAGAAUGGCAUCAUGGUCUAAGAGAAACGACAACAUUCACAUCAGGUAACCAAGUACGUGAAUUAUUAUCGGGAGUUGGGAGUAGAAUUAAACUACUUCGAAAUUUGGAUCCGCAAAUUGGCCUUUGCAAGGGAACACGGCUAAAUUUAACUCAUCUAGGCCAAACACUUAUUGAAGCAGAGAUCAUGGAAGGAGACUUCGGAGGAAGCCGCGUAUUACCGAGGAAAACAAUGACUCCAAAAAACUGCCAAUUUCUUUUUGAGAGAAAUCAGUUCCCAGUUAAAGAGUUCCCUUAAUGGUGUUAACAAAUUUAUACAAUCAUUAUCAUCAAAUUCACUUUUCUUUAAUCAGGAAAUAAAUGUAGUUAAUCAUAAUUUGCAGAAAAUAAAGACACAUCCUUAUGAUUUAUUUCUUUUAA